UUGCUGCAGAGACGGCCGGCUGUCGCUGAUGGUUGCAGCGCGAGGACCAUGACGGGGAAGAAGUCUUCCCGGGAGAAGAGGCGCAAGCGGAGUGGGCAGGAGGCAGCCGCGGCGCUCGCGGCCCCGGACCUGGUGCCCGUGCUGAGCGGGAGCGCGGGAAACCAAGUAUCUUUUACCAAGUCUGGAAAAAGAGUUAAUCUUGGCAGAGCACAGUGAUCUUGAAGAAGGUGGCCUGGAUCUGACUGUCUCGUUAAAACCUGUUAGUUUCUAUAUAUCAGACAAAAAGGAAAUGCUGCAGCAGUGCUUCUGUAUAAUAGGAGAGCAGAAGUUACAGAAGAUGCUCCCCGAUGUGCUGAAGAACUGUUCAGUAGAAGAAAUUAAAAAACUAUGCCAGGAACAAUUAGAGCUCCUGUCUGAAAAAAAAAUCUUGAAGAUUCUUGAGGGUGACAAUGGUUUGGACUCUGAUAUGGAAGAGGAGGCAGAUCGUGGCUCUAAGGUGGCACCUGAUUUAAUCAGUCAGCAAGAUACCUGUGUAGAUUCUACUUCAUCCCUGAGAGAGAACAAACAACCAGAAGGUUUGGAAUCAAAGCAAGAUGACUCUUUAGACCUGAGAAGCAAUUCUCUUUUAUUUAAAAUAUCUGCAAGUGUUUGAAUUGAUACUGGUGCACACGGGCUGACACUCUGCAGAUGCAAACGUGCCGUUGAAACAAAGCAAGAGUGCUGUGUGGCUCCCAGAGCCUUGC
rnacentral:lncRNA from 1 species